rnacentral:lncRNA from 12 species
AUGAAAGCACUUAUAUGGACAUGGUUUGAGCGCGUUUUAUGCAAAUUAUUAGCAGUUAUUAGUAGAUGUGAAUGUACAAACUACUGGAUUCAACGACUUUACAACGAAGAACACGUCAAUCACUUAGGAGUCAUUCUUGUCUACAUCUGCUCCGGCGGUGAAACAAUGGCGGACCGAUAACAGCUCACUCAGGGCGGGUCCAAGGUAAGACGCCAGUCCAGUCUGUGCUAAAACACUACAGUCAAUCAAACUGUUGUGGGAGGGGCAUGUUUUUGUGAUGUCACACAGACAGGCAUCUGAGAUCAGCUCGAUUUGAGCAGAUACAAUUUUAUUUAUUUUUUUAUCAUUUUAGGGUGGUUGUGUACACACACUGCCAACACACAUUUCAGUUCAAACAACUUGUAAAAGUGCAUGUAGCAUCAUAUGACCCCUUUAACAACAAACAUCUGAAACAUUCUGUCUUAUAUUUAAUGGUUGAGUCAUUAGCGUGCAUAUGAGGUCUUUGUAAAAAAGUUCCACUUAAACCACAUAUUUGAAGAAUGAGGCUCCAUUGAAAUGCAGUGCUAAACUUCCUGAUGUAGAAAAAAUCCUUAAACAAACUUUUUUCCUUUGAAACAAACCACCACUGCAUAUUGCUUCCUAAGUGAAGAACAAAACAGUUUACAUGUGCUUCAGAUCUCAGUUAAAUUGUUUUUGAGGUGUGGAUUUGCUAAAUUGGGCAUUUAAUGCCAGCACAUAUUUGUGAAACAGAUACUCUGCAUAACCCCUGAGAAACAUCAUUUAUAAUUAAAUUUAAUAACAGAGCGGCUCGUCGACCCAUUCCCAUGCCCAAUCUUUCAUGAUAAAAAGGGGAAAACAGCUCUGAGCAAAGCUGAAACGCUUACGAAAAGGCAUGUCGCAAGUUCUCCCAGGCUGUUGCACCUAUAUGUAAAACUCGAUUGUCAAUAUUUGUAUUGCCAAGUAAAAGUAAUACAUUACACUUUUGAUUGGCAUUUAGUGGGUUUGUUAAAUCCUUUCUUUCUCUUUCUGCCGCAUCCUAACACAAGUACUUGCAAGUAUCCGAUCUCCUGAUCUUAUCUUCUUCAUGCAUGUCUGACUAAGUUUAAACUAUUUGCCAUAAGCAGAAUGUGACAGGUUGGUGGGAAUGUAUUAAAUAAUCCUCCUAAUAUGAGCAUUUCCAAGCAAUGAUAAUUUUUUUUUUUUUUUUUUUUUUACUUUUCUUCAAAAUGCGUGAGUAUACAGGAUACCCUGACCUAUACUGUCCAAAAAGUAGGCUGCCUGCACUGUAUUUUAUGUAUCCUCAUUUUAUUCUUAACUGUUAGUUUAAUUUUAAAUCAAUGUUUUAAUCAUUUUAAUUUUUUACUCUUUCCUUUUAUUGUUGUGAUUAUUUUUAUGGUUAUGGUUUAACUCCUUUUUUAUGUAAAGUACUUUGUAUACCAUUGUGCUUGAAAUGUGCUAUUUAAAUAAACUUAAAAAUUAAAUAAAUUAAAACAAAAAAAAAAAUUUCUUAAAAACAAUUCAUGAUACACAUUUUCAUAUUAUAAUAUUAUAUUUGAAA